rnacentral:lncRNA from 1 species
UUCUGGUUUCUUUUGUUUUUUGAAUACUUGAAAACAAUUUAUUAUUUAAAAAAUUUUUAAACAUAUACAACAGUAGCAAGAAUAGGACAAUGAACCCCCAAUUCUCUUCAUUACUAUUCAACAAUUGCUAAGAUUUUUGACAUAUGCUUUACUUUACCAUUUUCCUUUCAUUUCCAAUAUAUUUAAAAGUAAACCCCAAACCGAGGCCCAAAGUGUCAAAGUGUUCUAAUAACUUUUCUUUUUUUCACAGUAAACAUGUUUUGGCUCUUAACACACUUGUCUAAAGUGUGCCAUUUCAGUCCUACAUAAUUCAAUAUACAUUUAAAUAUAUNUGCGGCUGCUGUUGUUGUUGUUAUAUAGCCGUAAUACUGUUAUCCAAGUUGGCAAAAUUGUCCUGGGAUUUUUAAAACCAUGGUCCAAUUUUUUUAAAUUAAAUUUUAAAACUUAAAUGUUCUCAAUUGAAUCAAAAUUAUCUUUUUAAUAGGAUUUGUUUGCAUUAAUAUCUAAUAAAGUCUGAACCUUGCAUUUUGGUUUUAUACCUUUUAAGUCUCUUUAUUUCUGUAUUUUGACUGAUGUUUCAGAAAGGUUGUUGUCUGAUUUCUGAUGGAUUAUCAUAGGGUCACUUCUUAGAUGAGCUAUCUUUAAGUGCUCUUUCUUGUUGAAGAAUACAAAGUGUGGUGGGGAAGGAACCCUUGGGAUUUGAGGUUAUAUUACUGUUAUAAAAUUCUUCCUACCUGUGGAUUUAGCUUAUACAGUUAUUGGAGUAGUAUUAAGUAAGUAUAUAUGUAUUUAUUUAUUCCUCAACUUGUUUAAAAAAUUAUUUGAGAGACUUCACUUACAGGAAAGUAGAUUUUGAUUUUUGUAAUAAUUUUUCCCAAACCACAUGUUUCAGUGAGUCAAGGUCAUUCUAGAGAAUUCUGCUUCUGUAACUAACUGCAAGGGUUAACCAAACUUCAAAGGUUGACAGCAAAGUCCUCUACAAGACUGCCUUCACUGUGGACAUCACCUGUAAAUUUGUAAAGUUCCUGAAACCACCCUCAGGUUUGAUAACUUGUUAGAUGGACUCAAGAAUUCAUUGAAAGCUAUUUACUGAUGGUCAUGGGUCGUUCAGAGAAAGGAUACGGAUGAAAAUCAUCCAAGGGAAGACACAUAAAGACAAGAAUCUGAGAGGGUUCCAAAUGUGAAAACUUGUUCUGAGAAUGUAUCACCCCCCUCUCCCCCACAUUGAUAUGGACGACCCAGGAAGAUCAUCUGAGUUUUAGUGUCCAGAGAUUUUACUAGGGCUCCAUUACACAGGCAUGAUUGAGUGACUGCUCUCAUGGUUGAUCUCAGCCCCCAGGUUGACUGUUACCAGGAGACCCAAAGCCUUCACCAUAACUCACAUGCUUGGUCUUCCUGGUGUGCCCAACUUCCAAUAUAAAAAAGACACUCCUAUCAGGUAUGACAUAGUUACCUCUCAGACGCAAAAGGCAAAGGAGACCUCUCAUCGGGGCUAGGCCAAGUUCUUUUUUAUAUAAAUAAUUUACCUGUUCUUAUUGGCCAUGCUAACUCUAGCCUAUUCCUUUUACUAUAAUACUUCACUAUGGGAAUAAUUUUCACACAAAACUGUUGAGAAAUUUUAAAAAAGAAGAAAGUUAAAUCUUGGAGUAAAUAUCUCUGACAACAUAAAACUAAGACUAUCAAAAAAACAAGGCAACCUUCAAAUAAUUAAAAACAAAAUGAAAGUUAUGGAAGAAUGGCUUGAAAAAUAUACACCAUUUCAAACUACACAAUUAAGAAGGGGAAAAUACAAAUGUUUUCAAUAUUUUAUUUUUGUAAACUUUACUUGUUACUGGGCUUUGCUGUUGAAAGUUAAUCAAGUCUUUUAUCAUAAUCCAUCUCAAGCCUCAAAGUCCUAGGUGAAAUAUCUUAACAGAAAAGAAAAUUCUUAUAAAAAUCAGCAUUUUAUGAACUCAGAUCAUUUCUGAUUCCUGUUAAGCAAAAAAUAUGUGGACAUAUGGUACAAAUUCUCACUCAUUUCUACUUUAUUUUGCAAGCGAGAUGUGUAAAGCUCUUCAAGACCUUUGCUACCACACAUGAAAACAGAGUAAAGAGUUCUGGAUUUACACCUUUUUUUUCCCCAACAUGAAAUUUUAUGAAUUACAUGCAGUGGAAGGUCAAGAAGUAGGUUUGAAUAAAUUAAUGAAUGGUUUCUACUGCACUCAGAAAAUAUUCGAUGAAUAUGAAGGAACCGUGAUUUAAUUUUAUCCUUUUUCUUAAUUAAUUUCUGGAUACAGAACCUCUACUGCAAAGCUGACAGCUAGGUUGGUUAGGUUUCUAUUCAAUUGAGCUUCUGGAUUACCCUGCCCACACAAAUAAAGAAGUAGUUACUUCUAUAAAGGAGCUCUACUCCCUUUAAAAUUUCUGCUUCUUAGUGAUUUUAAUGCUGUUAAGGCGCCAAGUGAGGGCAGAAAACAUCCCUAAAGGCACAAUGGCCUCGGCUAUUGUCUGAAAGUCCAUCAGUUCCAUUUGUGUCUUUAGAAAAAGCAAUCACUCACUGUUACAGAGGACAGAGAGUACAUGGGGAAUUUACAAUGGAACUACUACCAGUUUAAAAAGAACAGCAUUCAUGUUUUUUUUCCACCUUGGAAGUGUUAAAGACUAUAGAUUGCAGCUGAGGGAAAAUUAAGGCCCCUAUUUACACGUUUUCACUGUGCCUGUGAGGCUGAGAAAGAAAUGAACUUAGUUAUGAAUGAAUGCAGUUCACUCAGGCAAUUUCAUCAUUUUGGUACAGGGAAAAUGUCCUUUAAUGUCAUCAACUAGAGAAAGGUGAAUAUUCAGGAAUUAAAAGGCAGCCAGAAAUGUUCACGUGAAAAAGGAAAAGGAAAGGGAUUGGGCUUAGAAAGCAUGCUAAUGCGUGGGGGAUGAGGAAGAAGCAGUAGCAGGUGGUAGAAGCCUCCGAAAUCAGUGAUUCCCAGGUGGGGUGGAAGAAGAUUAAAAUCCCCUGGGGGUGUGGUGUAGUUUUUAAAGGGGCAUUAAGUAUUAUAAUCUUAUAUUUUGAAUACAGAAAAAUACCUUCCAUUUUUGUAACACAAACCUUGGCAAGUCCAGCUCUGUAAAACUUUCUUAGCUGGUGGAGAUAAGUUGGUUCUAACCAAGCAGCCCAGAAAAUUCUCAACAGGAGACUGAGUGGCAUGUCAGAGGGAAGAGGAAAACAAGUACUUCCCCCGGGGUAUGGGUGGGCAGGGGAGGGUUGGGCGUGUGUCUGUUAUCAAGAGAGCAUUUGAUUUUAAAAGACUGAAAAAUACCACCUUGAGUUUUGCGUCUGCAAAAUAUUACGAACACUUUUAGAAGCUUAUUCAAUAAAGGCCCUUACUGUCACGUCAAAGGAACCUUAGAGGAUCUUUACAUCCUAGAAUGCAGUUGUCAUUUGCUACUUUUUGGAAUCUAGCUGACCUCUGGGUGGGGCAUUCUAUCUAGUUUCAGUAUUUGCAGGGCAUCUCUUUCAGAGAAACUCAAAGCACCUUAUAAGCACUUAUAUUUUAAACUUCUCCAAGUGCCUAAAAUAGACUAGAAACAGUAACAUCUAAGGUUUUACCUGCACUCUUCCAAAUCAAUACAUUUGGCUCUUUUCAUGGACCUGAUUGUUGUCCAUCUUGACUAAUCUCUGAUUCAUCAGGGGAAAAAAGUCUAUCAUCAUGUAAAGAUCCCCUAAAAACAUCAAAAUGUUCAAAACUUCUCUGCUUCCACAGCCUGCAUUAACAAAUUGCACCUGUCAGUGAACGCAGAAUAAAUUAGGUGACUGAAUAAAUUAGGUGACUGAAAACCUCUAAGGUAAAUCAGUAACUUUUAAACAAAACAAAACUAAACUAAACUCCAUGAAGGUGAUACACUAUAAUUCUGUCGCUGGCUCAUCAGACCAGGUGCCAAUCAGGUCCUGGCGGGCCAUAUGUGUAUUUAUAAAUAUAUCUGCUAAUGUAAAGGUCGCGCUGCUCACUGCUCAGGGAAAUCAGGCAUAUUUGGAACCAUCCCUAGAAGAUUUUGGUUUCUUAAAAAAAUAUUUUGACAAUUUGUGACAAAUGCAAUCCUGCCCCCAUAUGUUUUGUACUAUUUAAAGGGAAAUGACACUCAGUUGCCUUCACAUCAACACGUGAAUUUUUUCUUUUAAUAAUGAAGUCAGAAGAUGAGAAAGGGGGAGGUCUCCUUCCACACAUAUUUAAAAGAUGUAAGUAUCUUUUCAAACUUCCUAUUUCCACAGUUGCCCAAGAAGACAGAGCUUCAAAAUCUAUGUUACUGGUUCAUGACUUAGGAAGUAACAGAAACUUUUCCUCCAAAUUGGAGGAGGUAGUGAAAAAAUAAUGAAUGACAAGAGAGUGUUGGCAGAUUUUGGUAAGAAAUGCAGUCAUUUGCCCCCUUGCUCUUUUUUUUUUUUUUUUUUUUUUUUUCUGCUCAGUAACUUCUCCCCCUGGGCAUGGGGAAGAAAAGGUCUCUACUCAAAUGUUACCCUCUGCCAUCCUCUAUAGAUAUCUUUUAUGAAUUAAUUUAGAAUAUCCAGACAUCUCAAUCAGGACUGAAAAUGACAUUAUAAGGCUGUGAGAUGCAAAAGUCCAGAAUAAACUUUAUACACUACACACUCAUCUAGUUGCAUCCCACUCCAUUCUUCAGUACAAACAGAAUAACAAGGUUUUCCCAUGGGAUGAAAUACAGAGACUUUAAAAAAACACAACCCAAAUAUUCGAAUGACAUCUUUGGUGAGAAGAAAAGCUUCUGACAAGAGGGAAAGGUAUGAAAAUAUUUUGAGAGAACUUGUUUAAUAGCCCUGCAAUGCCUUCCGUUCCAUUUAGCCCUCGGAUUGAAUAACCACGACAGA